GACGAACGCUGGCGGCGUGCUUAACACAUGCAAGUCGAGCGGUAAGGCCCUUUCGGGGGUACGACGAGCGGCGAACGGGUGAGUAACACGUGGGUGACCUGCCCUCAGCUCUGGGAUAAGCCUGGGAAACCGGGUCUAAUACCGGAUAUGACUCCAUGACGCAUGUUGUGGGGUGGAAAGCCUUGUGCGGCUGAGGAUGGGCCCGCGGCCUAUCAGCUUGUUGGUGGGGGAUGGCCUACCAAGGCGACGACGGGUAGCCGGCCUGAGAGGGCGACCGGCCACACUGGGACUGAGACACGGCCCAGACUCCUACGGGAGGCAGCAGUGGGGAAUCUUGCGCAAUGGGCGAAAGCCUGACGCAGCGACGCCGCGUGAGGGAUGACGGCCUGGUUGUAAC
rnacentral:rRNA from 1 species